AUUGAACGCUGGCGGCAUGCCUUACACAUGCAAGUCGAACGGUAACAGGUUAAGCUGACGAGUGGCGAACGGGUGAGUAAUAUAUCGGAACGUGCCCAGUCGUGGGGGAUAACGCAGCGAAAGCUGUGCUAAUACCGCAUACGAUCUAUGGAUGAAAGCGGGGGAUCGCAAGACCUCGCGCGAUUGGAGCGGCCGAUAUCAGAUUAGCUAGUUGGUGGGGUAAGGCCUACCAAGGCGACGAUCUGUAGCUGGUCUGAGAGGACGACCAGCCACACUGGAACUGAGACACGGUCCAGACUCCUACGGGAGGCAGCAGUGGGGAAUUUUGGACAAUAGGCGCAAGCCUGAUCCAGCAAUGCCGCGUGCAGGAUGAAGGCCUUCGGGUUGUAAACUGCUUUUGUACGGAGCGAAACGGCCUACCCUAAUAUGGUGGGUUAAUGACGGUACCGUAAGAAUAAGCACCGGCUAACUACGUGCCAGCCGCCGCAGUAA
rnacentral:rRNA from 1 species